UACAGGGGGUGCAAACGUUGCUCGGAAUUAUUGGGCGUAAAGCGCGCGUAGGCGGCUACCUAAGUCGGAUGUGAAAGCCCCUGGCUUAACUGGGGAAGUGCACCCGAAACUGAGUAGCUAGAGUGCGAAAGAGGGUCGCGGAAUUCCCGGUGUAGAGGUGAAAUUCGUAGAUAUCGGGAGGAAUACCAAUGGCGAAGGCGGCGACCUGGGUAGAUACUGACGCUGAGGCGCGAAAGCGUGGGGAGCAAACAGG
rnacentral:rRNA from 1 species